UGGAAUUGUUGGAGGGAGAAGGUCAGCCUGCCAUGUCUUGGUUCCCCCACCCCCACCGUGGCAGACUUUCCCACGCUGCGCUCCCAGCCGCUGUGCAGCCGCAUGCCCGCACGUGGAGGGAUAGCAGCAUAACUGGCAGCGCGGGUCGGGCCAGGUCGCGGUGGAGAAGCUGUGGCUGCUGCGGGCUGCCCGGCGCCAGAGAGCGCAUUGUGCGGGAGCGCUGAAUGGAGCUGGGCUGUGUGCGGGCAGGCUCGCAAGGAUUAGCCUGCUUUCCCAUGAACUACAAAAGAAUGCUCGAAUCUGGGGCAUUUGUCAUCAAGGGGCAGGCUGCGCAGGAUGCAAGGGUUAGUUGAUUCAUUGCAACCUGGCCUUGGCUGCAGCCCCAAAGGUCAAGAACAAGAUAGAGGCAGCCACCCUUGGACUUAAAGGCUGUGCUCUCUCCACUGACCUGCCAGGAAGGAUGGAACUUUACGUGGGAUUUUUUUUUUCCUACCUUCCUACCGAGAACAGAGGGAAAAAAAUGUUGGAGAGAAGCAAGGGCCUUUGUAAAAUGUUCCUGAGAUCUUCUAACCUCCUGGCAAAGUAUCUAAAACUUGAUUCGUGAGUGUGGAUUGGCUGCCCCUGUCUGCAAUCCCAGAAUUCAGGAGGUAGAGGCUGAUGGAAUAGCAAGCUUGAGGCUAGCUGCUGCCACGCAAUGAAA
rnacentral:lncRNA from 1 species